GACGUAGGGCGCGAGCGUUGUCCGGAUUUAUUGGGCGUAAAGAGCUCGUAGGCGGCUUGUCGCGUCGUCUGUGAAAUCCCGCGGCUCAACUGCGGGCUGGCAGUCGAUACGGGCAGGCUGGAGUUCGGUAGGGGAGACUGGAGUUCCUGGUGUAGCGGUGAAAUGCGCAGAUAUCAGGAGGAACACCGGUGGCGAAGGCGGCAUCCUGGACCGGUAUUGACACUGAGGCGCGAAAGCCAGGGGAGCAAACGGG
rnacentral:rRNA from 1 species